rnacentral:rRNA from 1 species
ACUCCUACGGGAGGCAGCAGUGGGGAAUAUUGCACAAUGGGGGAAACCCUGAUGCAGCCAUGCCGCGUGUGUGAAGAAGGCCUUCGGGUUGUAAAGCACUUUCAGUAGGGAGGAAGGUAGUGUAGUUAACACCUGCAUUAUUUGACGUUACCUACAGAAGAAGCACCGGCUAACUCCGUGCCAGCAGCCGCGGUAAUACGGAGGGUGCGAGCGUUAAUCGGAAUUACGUGGGCGUAAAGCGCAUGCAGGCGGCCUGUUAAGUCAGAUGUGAAAGCCCGGGGCUUAACCUCGGAAUUGCAUUUGAAACUGGCAGGCUAGAGUCUUGUAGAGGGGUUAGAAUUUCAGGUGUAGCGGUGAAAUGCGUAGAGAUCUGAAGGAAUACCAGUGGCGAAGGCGGCCCCUGGACAAAGACUGACGCUCAGAUGCGAAAGCGUGGGAGCAAACAGGAUUAGAUA